rnacentral:rRNA from 1 species
GAUGAACGCUAGCGGGAGGCCUAACACAUGCAAGCCGAGCGGUAUUGUUUCUUCGGAAAUGCGAGAGCGGCGUACGGGUGCGUAACACGUGUGCAACCUGCCUUUAUCUGGGGGAUAGCCUUUCGAAAGGAAGAUUAAUACUCCAUAAUAUAUUGAACGGCAUCGUUUAAUAUUGAAAGCUCCGGCGGAUAGAGAUGGGCACGCGCAAGAUUAGCUAGUUGGUGAGGUAACGGCUCACCAAGGCGAUGAUCUUUAGGGGGCCUGAGAGGGUGAUCCCCCACACUGGUACUGAGACACGGACCAGACUCCUACGGGAGGCAGCAGUGAGGAAUAUUGGUCAAUGGGUGCAAGCCUGAACCAGCCAUCCCGCGUGAAGGACGACUGCCCUAUGGGUUGUAAACUUCUUUUGUAUAGGGAUAAACCUACCCUCGGGAGGGUAGCUGAAGGUACUAUACGAAUAAGCACCGGCUAACUCCGCG